rnacentral:ncRNA from 1 species
GAGAGCCGUGUGCGCUUAACGGUGCAAGCACGGUUCGUGGGAGGGGCCGACAGAAAAGGGCCAGCAGUGGUACCUCGCUGGCAGCCUACUCUAC